ACCCCCUUAGCUCAGUUGGUAAGAGCAUCCGACUCAUAAUCGGCAGGUCGUAAGUUCGAUUCUUACAGGGGGUACCA
rnacentral:tRNA from 1 species